rnacentral:tRNA from 6 species
GGUCCCGUAGCUCAGUGGAUAGAGCAACGGCUUGCGGAGCCGUGUGUCGGAGGUUCGAAUCCUCUCGGGACUAC